CAUAAAAAUCUGACAAACAUGGUCAGACCUUGUUAAGUUGUUAUUUCUGUGUAAAAGGAAGGAAGCAGAGAGAAGAAGUAUAAAAAGCUCUUUGUUUCCUUCACAGUUCUUUGGUAUCUGCUGUGCUGCUGCUUCACUCUCUCUCUUUACAGAAAGUUGUAGAAGUUUUCAGACGUGUCACUGCUGGAUGUGAGGAUGGGAGCCACUUUGCUCUGUGAGCUGGGCCUAUUCUUGCUCUGUACGCUCCUCUGCACUGGACACGCUCAAGAUGCUGUGCUAACUAUUGAACCCAACUGGUCCAGUUUUUUCAUUGGAGAGUUUGUUACCUUCAAAUGUGACAUGAAAGAAGGAAAAGACACUGACUGGCAUUACCAAAUCCUUAGGAAUGGUCAGGGAUUUCUCCCCUACAACA